AGAUACUGAAAUUAUCGAAAUCUGAGCAGCCAUAGAGAGAAGAUACAGAAGCCAAAGACCUGGAGAACAAGCAUUUAAAUGGCCCCGGAGAAACUCUCAGACCUGAAAUAUACCAAGAGCUGGAAUGGGCAGUUAGGAGACAUGCAACCCAUGUAAUAAGACAGUGUUAACGGUAACUACAAACUACCCAGCAUUGAUUUCUUAUUGGCUUCAAGGAGGAGAAUCUAGAAGAAGCUCAAAGCUGAAAUCCAGGAGAGCAGAAGGAGCUGGAGCAUUGCAAAUAGGAACUUAAAGUGGGAAGACCAAAUUUUCCUUUGAUUCUACCCAAGCUUGACCAAUUAUUCUUGCUGCUUGAUGAGCACUGGAAAAGGUAAGAAGCAGGAUUUUGGUUUGGGAAAGCACAAUCAGUUAUAGGAUCCACUGCUGUAAAGGGGAAGAGUUAGAAAAUACCUGGAAGGCAAUGAAUGAAAAAAACUAAACACCUAUGAACAUAUCUGGGCUGUAUAU